rnacentral:rRNA from 1 species
AAUAGAUACCCGGGUAGUCCACGCCGUAAACGAUGAGUGCUAAGUGUUAGGGGGUUUCCGCCCCUUAGUGCUGCAGCUAACGCAUUAAGCACUCCGCCUGGGGAGUACGGUCGCAAGACUGAAACUCAAAGGAAUUGACGGGGGCCCGCACAAGCGGUGGAGCAUGUGGUUUAAUUCGAAGCAACGCGAAGAACCUUACCAGGUCUUGACAUCCCGCUGACCGGCCUAGAGAUAGGCUUUUCCCUUCGGGGACAGCGGUGACAGGUGGUGCAUGGUUGUCGUCAGCUCGUGUCGUGAGAUGUUGGGUUAAGUCCCGCAACGAGCGCAACCCUUGAUCUUAGUUGCCAGCAUUCAGUUGGGCACUCUAAGGUGACUGCCGGUGAUAAACCGGAGGAAGGUGGGGAUGACGUCAAAUCAUCAUGCCCCUUAUGACCUGGGCUACACACGUGCUACAAUGGACGGUACAGAGGGUUGCAACCCCGCGAGGGUGAGCUAAUCCCAUAAAACCGUUCUCAGUUCGGAUUGUAGGCUGCAACUCGCCUAC